rnacentral:lncRNA from 10 species
CCGAAAGUGAGCCACUCUCCCUAACUCCAGCUUCUGUGGUUAAUUAGAUUUGGAUGGUUUCAGAGGAGCAGCUGGAGUUUUCAGAAAAUGGAAGCGAUAAAAAGGGACUAUUCAAGCUUGCAUCAUGUGUUUUUCAUCAAGUGAAGCUUUUCAGUGAACUGAUAGUCCUUCCAAAUAUGAUCUGCUGUAUCCAAAUGGACAAGGAACAGGAAGCACCUUUAUGAACAAGAAAGCGAAAUGAGCACAGAGAAAUUGGGCAGAACAUGGUGAAACUCCAUUACACACUGUCGCAGGCUGUCAUGAAUUGUACUGCACGUCCAACACUUUCCUCAGAGUCAACAACGGGUUUAUCACCGAUACAAGAGACCAGCAGGAGCCUGAAGCAAGCUGAUACCUCUGACAUGAGCAUUCUGGUCAACUACUGCUGAUUUCAAAGUCUUUCUAUGACUAGCCAUGUAAAAGGAAGGCAGAGCCACACAACUGGUCUGCAUGCAAAGAAAAGAAUGAUCCAGGAAACAGAUGCUUGAGCUUGAUCAUUAGAGUCUGAACUAUCAGUCUUUGCUUUUUCACUUUCUACAGUGUUGUCCCGGGCAAGCCACUCCAGUUCUCUGGGGCUCAGUUUCCUUAUUUAUUAAAUAGAGAAAAUCAUUACUGUUCUACCCAUCCAAGAUUGGAUAUGGCACGUACAGAAUUAUAG